AGCAGCUUCAAGUAACAAAAGAAAAAAAGCUCAUCACCUCAUUUGCUCAGUUCAUGGCAGGUCCUCCUUCAUGCCGCGGACGAACUCCUCCGAGUGUUCCUUGGUGACGCAGCUGGCGAGCAUCCGCGUGCCGUCGAGCGGCAGCGGCGCCUUGAGGAUGACGACGGAGGCGAUGAAGUCGUUGUUGACGAGCGGGCCGGCGAACUUGGGCGGGCCGAAGCCGUAGUCCACCUCGGCGAACCCGAGCUUGCUCCAGUCGGAGACGUAGAUGGACUCGUAGUUGAACGUCAUCUGGAACGGGUCCUGCUCCGUCUCCUCCUUGGCGAACUGGAAGAACUCCACCGCCAUCCUCUCCUUCGCCUGCCGGAUCAUGUCCACCACCUCCAUCACCGACGACGACAGCACCGUCUCGCUCGGCGCUGACAUCUUCACCGGGAAGAUGGAGUUGCCGUAGUACCCCCUGUCCAGCUUCAGCAGGUGGCGCACGCUGGCGAAGAAGCAGAGCUUCACGGUGGCGCCGGGCUCGAGGUUGAGUGCCCUGGUGCGGCAUUGCCACAGCUUCGCCGUCAGCACGUCGAAGCCGGAGCAGAACUUGCCGCUGUGCGCCUUGUACUGCGCCUUCAGGCCGUCGAUGUAGCCGGUGGGGAAGUCGAGGACGAUGUAGUCGAGCGCCAGCACCGGCAGCCCCGGCAGGGGGCCGGGCUUGAUGCUCGGGUUCGGGAACUUCUCCCUGUCCCACACCGGCUUCACCCUCGGCUCCGGGAGCCCCCGCGCCAUGUCGCCCACCGCGUUGAUGAACUGAGCCGCGCCCAUGCCGUCCGCCGACGCGUGGUUGAACCGGAGCCCCAUCACGAACCCGCCGCAGGUGAAUUUGGUGAUCUGAAGUCAUAUGCAACUUGAGGUUAGCUCAGCUCUGAAGAAUUCGAUCAGUAUGAUACAUUGGCAUGCAUGUUCUGAGAAAAAUUGGCAUGCAUGUUCUGAGAAAAUUUUGUGUAUGUAACCAGAAACAAUUUGGCAUGAUAAUCAAGGAUCC
rnacentral:sRNA from 1 species